rnacentral:rRNA from 1 species
GGGUUAAGUCCCGCAACGAGCGCAACCCUUGUCCCUAGUUGCCAGCGAUUCGGUCGGGAACUCUAGGGAGACUGCCGGUGACAAACCGGAGGAAGGUGGGGAUGACGUCAAGUCAUCAUGGCCCUUAUGGGCAGGGCUACACACGUGCUACAAUGGUCGGUACAGAGGGCUGCAAACCCGCGAGGGGGAGCCAAUCCCAGAAAGCCGAUCGUAGUCCGGAUCGGAGUCUGCAACUCGACUCCGUGAAGUCGGAAUCGCUAGUAAUCGCGGAUCAGCAUUGCCGCGGUGAAUACGUUCCCGGGCCUUGUACACACCGCCCGU